ensembl:misc_RNA
AUGAUGGCUCUGAAAGCUAAAAUCCUGCAUUCUUCUGCAGAACUGGGACAGUGAGGGUGGAAGCAGUGCAGACUUCCCCAUGGUGCCCUGCUAAUGUGCCUCAAACUUGUUCUGUAGUGACUGCUUCUAAGGCUGUUUGAGUAGAUCAGUUUCCCUGGCCAUUCAGUCAUCAGCUUCA